rnacentral:tRNA from 1 species
GCGCCUGUAGCUCAGCCGGAUAGAGCACCUGCCUUCUAAGCAGGGGGUUGGGCGUUCGAGUCGCCCCAGGCGCG